CCCCAGCCCCCAUCCCCGGCGACCCCCAUCCCGGCGCCCCCAUCCCUGGCGACCCCCAUCCUCGGUGCCCCAUCCCCACCCACCACCGUCGCGCCACCGUGCCGACGCAACCAGUACCGUCGUUGAUCCCGCGAACCAUCUCCGCUCCUGGGGCGGCUCACCACCUCCUCCCGCCGUGGGCCUCCCGUCGUCCGGCGCCUCGAGCCUCCCUCAAGCCCCCACGGUUUCCUGGAGGUGCUCCGCUCGUUGCCGCUCAAACUUGAACUUGCUUCUUCUUCAUCCCCGCACAGCAUCUCCUCCUGCCAUCCUCGCCCACGAGCUCGCUGUGCUGCACAUGCGCCAAACAACCUCGUCUCUAGUUUCGACUCCCUGUAACACUUGCCCAAAUACGGAGGCAAUAUAAUCGAUAUUGUGUCAAGAGAUGUUCAGCGGCCAGAGGAUAAGGCCCAAGCCCUGGCGGAUGUGAACGGCACAAUAUUGUACAGUGUGCUAAUAGUUGUGACCAGGUCAGUUUGCAUAGCUCUUCGGGCAUGGCUAUUCAAUUCUGCUAGUGAGAGAGUCGUUGCUCGACUUAGACAUGACUUGUUCAGUCAUCUCAUAAACCAG